UUAGGAUUGAAGUUUUCGGAUGGAUUUCCUAUAUGACUGAGUGGCGGACGGGUGAGUAACGCGUGGGGAACCUGCCCUAUACAGGGGGAUAACAGCUGGAAACGGCUGCUAAUACCGCAUAAGCGCACAGAAUCGCAUGAUUCAGUGUGAAAAGCCCUGGCAGUAUAGGAUGGUCCCGCGUCUGAUUAGCUGGUUGGUGAGGUAACGGCUCACCAAGGCGACGAUCAGUAGCCGGCUUGAGAGAGUGAACGGCCACAUUGGGACUGAGACACGGCCCAAACUCCUACGGGAGGCAGCAGUGGGGAAUAUUGCACAAUGGGGGAAACCCUGAUGCAGCGACGCCGCGUGAGUGAAGAAGUAUUUCGGUAUGUAAAGCUCUAUCAGCAGGGAAGAAAACAGACGGUACCUGACUAAGAAGCCCCGGCUAACUACGUGCCAGCAGCCGCGGUAAUACGUAGGGGGCAAGCGUUA
rnacentral:rRNA from 1 species